CCUACGGGGCGGCAGCAGUGGGGAAUAUUGGACAAUGGGCGAAAGCCUGAUCCAGCCAUGCCGCGUGUGUGAAGAAGGCCUUCGGGUUGUAAAGCACUUUCAGUGGGGAAGAAAGCCUUGGGGCUAAUACCCUCGAGGAAGGACAUCACCCACAGAAGAAGCACCGGCUAACUCCGUGCCAGCAGCCGCGGUAAUACGGAGGGUGCGAGCGUUAAUCGGAAUUACUGGGCGUAAAGCGCGCGUAGGCGGUCUGAUAAGCCGGUUGUGAAAGCCCCGGGCUCAACCUGGGAACGGCAUCCGGAACUGUCAGGCUAGAGUGCAGGAGAGGAAGGUAGAAUUCCCGGUGUAGCGGUGAAAUGCGUAGAGAUCGGGAGGAAUACCAGUGGCGAAGGCGGUCUUCUGGACUGACACUGACGCUGAGGUGCGAAAGCGUGGGUAGCAAACAGGAUUAGAUACCCCUGUAGUC
rnacentral:rRNA from 1 species